rnacentral:rRNA from 1 species
GAUACCCUAUUAUUUAAAAUGUAAUUUUUUAUCCUAGAUUAUUAUUAGUUAUGGUCUUUAAAAUUAAAAAAUUUGGCGGUAUUUUAGUCUGUUCAGAGGAACCUGUUUCUUAAUUGAUAGUCCACGAUAAUUUUUACUUUAACUUUAAAUUUGUAUAUCGUCGUUUAUAAAAAUUUUAGUAGAAUAAAAAUUUUUGGGUUGUGAGAAGUUUAAUUUAUUUCAGAUCAAGGUGUAGUUUAUGUUAAAGUUGGAAUGGGUUACAUUGUAUUUAUUUUUGGAAUUAAGAAUUAGAAUUUUAAUGAAAUUGGAUUUGAUAGUAAAAUCUUUAUUUUUGGGAUUUGAUUUAGCUCUAAAAUAUGCACACAUCGCC